rnacentral:rRNA from 1 species
GAGACCUCAGGUCAGGCGA